AAACUGCUGACAGAAUUGUCCACAUUCUGCCCAUGACUGGAUGUCAUAAAAGACAUCCAUGACCUUUCCAUGGCUCGUUCAUUUCUAACCGAGGCUUCUUUGUAUACACGAGGUGUGGCCUUCAAUUUUAUCAUCCCAAAAUUGUGAAGUCUGUGAUCUGCUCCAGGGAUUAAUUAGAGCUGUUCCAGUAGCUGCAAGUAGGCAUCUAGGGGAACAAGUUUUGCAUGCCUUUCUGAGAUACUCAUGUGAUCUCCAGGCCACUUUGCCAUAUCUGAACACACACCUGGCUUGAAACCAGAGAGUUUGGAGGCUGGAAGUCUGCAAGCAAUGCAUGAUUAAACAAGAAGGGAAGUCAUUGUCAGCAGAGCAGGCUGCUGAAAUCCAAUGCGUGUAAAAACACAGCGCCUGUAGAUUCUCUGAAGGUGGAGGUGCUCUGAGGAAAGCCCACAAACAUCACACAGAAGGUUUUCCCCGUCUUUGUUAAAUGUGUGUACCUUCUGAACAUUGUCUGAUGACAGUGAGACAGCAUAAUUUUAGUGAGGUGGCAGUUGCCACAGAAACGGGUCACUGGAAGAGUCACACAGUUAAGGCAAGUAA